rnacentral:rRNA from 1 species
GGGUUGUGAGGUUAAGCGACUAAGCGUACACGGUGGAUGCCCUGGCAGUCAGAGGCGAUGAAGGGCGUGCUAAUCUGCGAUAAGCGCCGGUAAGGUGAUAUGAACCGUUAUAACCGGCGAUACCCGAAUGGGGAAACCCAGUGUGAUUCGUCACACUAUCAUUAACUGAAUCCAUAGGUUAAUGAGGCGAACCGGGGGAACUGAAACAUCUAAGUACCCCGAGGAAAAGAAAUCAACCGAGAUUCCCCCAGUAGCGGCGAGCGAACGGGGAGGAGCCCAGAGCCUGAAUCAGCAUGUGUGUUAGUGGAAGCGUCUGGAAAGGCGCGCGAUACAGGGUGACAGCCCCGUACACAAAAGCGCAUGUGCUGUGAGCUCGAUGAGUAGGGCGGGACACGUGGUAUCCUGUCUGAAUAUGGGGGGACCAUCCUCCAAGGCUAAAUACUCCUGACUGACCGAUAGUGAACCAGUACCGUGAGGGAAAGGCGAAAAGAACCCCGGCGAGGGGAGUGAAAAAGAACCUGAAACCGUGUACGUACAAGCAGUGGGAGCACCUUUGGGUGUGACUGCGUACCUUUUGUAUAAUGGGUCAGCGACUUAUAUUCUGUAGCAAGGUUAACCGAAUAGGGGAGCCGGAGGGAAACCGAGUCUUAAUUGGGCGUUAAGUUGCAGGGUAUAGACCCGAAACCCGGUGAUCUAGCCAUGGGCAGGUUGAAGGUUGGGUAACACUAACUGGAGGACCGAACCGACUAAUGUUGAAAAAUUAGCGGAUGACCUGUGGCUGGGGGUGAAAGGCCAAUCAAACCGGGAGAUAGCUGGUUCUCCCCGAAAGCUAUUUAGGUAGCGCCUCGUGAAUUCAUCUCCGGGGGUAGAGCACUGUUUCGGCUAGGGGGCCAUCCCGGCUUACCAACCCGAUGCAAACUGCGAAUACCGGAGAAUGUUAUCACGGGAGACACACGGCGGGUGCUAACGUCCGUCGUGAAGAGGGAAACAACCCAGACCGCCAGCUAAGGUCCCAAAGUCAUGGUUAAGUGGGAAACGAUGUGGGAAGGCCCAGACAGCCAGGAUGUUGGCUUAGAAGCAGCCAUCAUUUAAAGAAAGCGUAAUAGCUCACUGGUCGAGUCGGCCUGCGCGGAAGAUGUAACGGGGCUAAACCAUGCACCGAAGCUGCGGCAGCGACACUGUGUGUUGUUGGGUAGGGGAGCGUUCUGUAAGCCUGUGAAGGUGUGUCGUGAGGCAUGCUGGAGGUAUCAGAAGUGCGAAUGCUGACAUAAGUAACGAUAAAGCGGGUGAAAAGCCCGCUCGCCGGAAGACCAAGGGUUCCUGUCCAACGUUAAUCGGGGCAGGGUGAGUCGACCCCUAAGGCGAGGCCGAAAGGCGUAGUCGAUGGGAAACGGGUUAAUAUUCCCGUACUUGGUGUUACUGCGAAGGGGGGACGGAGAAGGCUAUGUUGGCCGGGCGACGGUUGUCCCGGUUUAAGCGUGUAGGUGUGUGUUCCAGGUAAAUCCGGUUCACUUUAACACUGAGGCGUGACGACGAGGCACUACGGUGCUGAAGCAACAAAUGCCCUGCUUCCAGGAAAAGCCUCUAAGCAUCAGGUAACAUCAAAUCGUACCCCAAACCGACACAGGUGGUCAGGUAGAGAAUACCAAGGCGCUUGAGAGAACUCGGGUGAAGGAACUAGGCAAAAUGGUGCCGUAACUUCGGGAGAAGGCACGCUGACACGUAGGUGAAGUGAUUUACUCAUGGAGCUGAAGUCAGUCGAAGAUACCAGCUGGCUGCAACUGUUUAUUAAAAACACAGCACUGUGCAAACACGAAAGUGGACGUAUACGGUGUGACGCCUGCCCGGUGCCGGAAGGUUAAUUGAUGGGGUCAGCGCAAGCGAAGCUCCUGAUCGAAGCCCCGGUAAACGGCGGCCGUAACUAUAACGGUCCUAAGGUAGCGAAAUUCCUUGUCGGGUAAGUUCCGACCUGCACGAAUGGCGUAAUGAUGGCCAGGCUGUCUCCACCCGAGACUCAGUGAAAUUGAACUCGCUGUGAAGAUGCAGUGUACCCGCGGCAAGACGGAAAGACCCCGUGAACCUUUACUAUAGCUUGACACUGAACAUUGAGCCUUGAUGUGUAGGAUAGGUGGGAGGCUUUGAAGUGUGGACGCCAGUCUGCAUGGAGCCGACCUUGAAAUACCACCCUUUAAUGUUUGAUGUUCUAACGUGGACCCGUUACCCGGGUUGCGGACAGUGUCUGGUGGGUAGUUUGACUGGGGCGGUCUCCUCCUAAAGAGUAACGGAGGAGCACGAAGGUUGGCUAAUCCUGGUCGGACAUCAGGAGGUUAGUGCAAUGGCAUAAGCCAGCUUGACUGCGAGCGUGACGGCGCGAGCAGGUGCGAAAGCAGGUCAUAGUGAUCCGGUGGUUCUGAAUGGAAGGGCCAUCGCUCAACGGAUAAAAGGUACUCCGGGGAUAACAGGCUGAUACCGCCCAAGAGUUCAUAUCGACGGCGGUGUUUGGCACCUCGAUGUCGGCUCAUCACAUCCUGGGGCUGAAGUAGGUCCCAAGGGUAUGGCUGUUCGCCAUUUAAAGUGGUACGCGAGCUGGGUUUAGAACGUCGUGAGACAGUUCGGUCCCUAUCUGCCGUGGGCGCUGGAGAACUGAGGGGGGCUGCUCCUAGUACGAGAGGACCGGAGUGGACGCAUCACUGGUGUUCGGGUUGUCAUGCCAAUGGCACUGCCCGGUAGCUAAAUGCGGAAGAGAUAAGUGCUGAAAGCAUCUAAGCACGAAACUUGCCCCGAGAUGAGUUCUCCCUGAGACUUAGAGUCUCCUGAAGGAACGUUGAAGACGACGACGUUGAUAGGCCGGGUGUGUAAGCGCAGCGAUGCGUUGAGCUAACCGGUACUAAUGAACCGUGAGGCUUAACCUUACAACGCCGAAG